UUUUUGUUCUUUUCAACUCAUGCUAAAUUUCACUAUUAUUUUCUGCAUCGACUAUUAUACUCCUUAUGCACAAAUUUUUGGAAAAAAAGAAAACUCAAAGUAACUCUCUACAACUAAACAUAACGCAAGUGUUUGAAAAGAAAAAGAAGGCACUUUACUGAUGCUACCCAUAUACAUGGCAUGUGUUUUCUAGUAAUGUUUAGUGGUGUAACUAAUGUAGCGUUUGGUACCAACAAAAGCAUAGGAUUUGGCAGCAGAAGAGUUUAGUGCUAUCUUUGGUUGCAUAAAUGCUGGUUAGAACAGACAAAAAAGUAAUAUUCAAGGAACAAGUUUGUUCUUGCAUUUUGGAGGGGCAAAAUUAUUCUACCAUAUUAGUACUCAAAGUUAGCUUUCCAACAUUAUCCUUAC
rnacentral:lncRNA from 1 species